GAUGAACGCUAGCGGCAGGCCUAACACAUGCAAGUCGAACGGUAACAGGGGAGAGCUUGCUCUUUCGCUGACGAGUGGGCACGGGUGCGUAACGCGUAUGCAACUUACCCCUAACUAGAGAAUAGCCUUUCGAAAGGAAGAUAAUACUCUAUAAUAUUUCUCUGUGGCAUCACAGAGUUCUUAAAGCUUCGGCGGUUAGGGAUGGGCAUGCGUCCUAUUAGUUUGUUGGUGAGGUAACGGCUCACCAAGACUACGAUAGGUAGGGGGUCUGAGAGGAUUAUCCCCCACACUGGUACUGAGACACGGACCAG
rnacentral:rRNA from 1 species